GCCCUACGGGGGGCUGCAGGCGCGAAAACUUUACAAUGCGGGAAACCGUGAUAAGGGAACUCCGAGUGUCCGUAAAUUCGGACUGUCCGUAUGUUUAAAAAGCAUACGAAGAAAGGGCCGGGCAAGACCGGUGCCAGCCGCCGCGGUAAUACCGGCGGCUCGAGUGGUGGCCACUAUUACUGGGCUUAAAGCGUUCGUAGCUUGGUUGUUAAGUCUCUUGGGAAAUCUAUCGGCUUAACCGAUAGGCGUCCAGGGGAUACUGGCAAUCUAGGGACCGGGAGAGGUGAGGGGUACUUCAGGGGUAGGAGUGAAAUCCUGUAAUCCUUGGGGGACCACCUGUGGCGAAGGCGCCUCACCAGAACGGCUCCGACAGUGAGGGACGAAAGCUGGGGGAGCAAACCGGAUUAGAUACCCCUGUAGUCG
rnacentral:rRNA from 1 species